CAUGCAGCAAGCAGCCUGGGUCCAGAAACCCGACACAGAACAUCUUCAUCAAGGACCACAAUCUCCACACUGGUUUUGGGCUUGCAGCCAGAUAGAUCUCCUCCUCUGGCGCGACUCAAGACAGGAAGCCGAUGAAAGAAUAGGGGGACCCACGAGGAGCCGAUGCAGGAGCCGAGACAGAAGCUACUGAAGACGUUAGAAGUUAUUGUUUCUGAUUGCGAGAGUCCCCACUGGCAACAGUUAUAUCGUUAAUUGUGAUGUCACAGAGCAGGUAGGGGAUCUCCACUACAGACUCUUGUGGCCAGUAAACAAUAAAACAAUGUGGUUG